rnacentral:rRNA from 1 species
GCAAGUCGAACGGUAACAUGAGGGAGCUUGCUCUCUUGAUGACGAGUGGCGGACGGGUGAGUAAUACAUAGGAAUCUAUCCAGUAGUUGGGGAUAACGUGUGGAAACGCACGCUAAUACCGAAUACGCACUACGGUGGAAAGAGGGGGAUCUUCGGACCUCUCGCUAUCGGGUGAGCCUAUGCCGGAUUAGCUAGUUGGUGGGGUAAUGGCCUACCAAGGCGACGAGCCGUAGCUGGUCUGAGAGGGUGAUC